rnacentral:rRNA from 1 species
GAUGAACGCUGGCGGCGUGCCUAAUACAUGCAAGUCGAGCGAACAGACGAGGAGCUUGCUCCUUUGACGUUAGCGGCGGACGGGUGAGUAACACGUGGGUAACCUACCUAUAAGACUGGGAUAACUUCGGGAAACCGGAGCUAAUACCGGAUAAUAUUUCGAACCGCAUGGUUCGAUAGUGAAAGAUGGCUUUGCUAUCACUUAUAGAUGGACCUGCGCCGUAUUAGCUAGUUGGUAAGGUAACGGCUUACCAAGGCAACGAUACGUAGCCGACCUGAGAGGGUGAUCGGCCACACUGGAACUGAGGCACGGUCCAGACUCCUACGGGAGGCAGCAGUAGGGAAUCUUCCGCAAUGGGCGAAAGCCUGACGGAGCAACGCCGCGUGAGUGAUGAAGGUCUUCGGAUCGUAAAACUCUGUUAUUAGGGAAGAACAAACGUGUAAGUAACUGUGCACGUCUUGACGGUACCUAAUCAGAAAGCCACGGCUAACUACGUGCCAGCAGCCGCGGUAAUACGUAGGUGGCAAGCGUUAUCCGGAAUUAUUGGGCGUAAAGCGCGCGUAGGCGGUUUUUUAAGUCUGAUGUGAAAGCCCACGGCUCAACCGUGGAGGGUCAUUGGAAACUGGAAAACUUGAGUGCAGAAGAGGAAAGUGGAAUUCCAUGUGUAGCGGUGAAAUGCGCAGAGAUAUGGAGGAACACCAGUGGCGAAGGCGACUUUCUGGUCUGUAACUGACGCUGAUGUGCGAAAGCGUGGGGAUCAAACAGGAUUAGAUACCCUGGUAGUCCACGCCGUAAACGAUGAGUGCUAAGUGUUAGGGGGUUUCCGCCCCUUAGUGCUGCAGCUAACGCAUUAAGCACUCCGCCUGGGGAGUACGACCGCAAGGUUGAAACUCAAAGGAAUUGACGGGGACCCGCACAAGCGGUGGAGCAUGUGGUUUAAUUCGAAGCAACGCGAAGAACCUUACCAAAUCUUGACAUCCUUUGACCCUUCUAGAGAUAGAAGUUUCCCCUUCGGGGGACAAAGUGACAGGUGGUGCAUGGUUGUCGUCAGCUCGUGUCGUGAGAUGUUGGGUUAAGUCCCGCAACGAGCGCAACCCUUAAGCUUAGUUGCCAUCAUUAAGUUGGGCACUCUAAGUUGACUGCCGGUGACAAACCGGAGGAAGGUGGGGAUGACGUCAAAUCAUCAUGCCCCUUAUGAUUUGGGCUACACACGUGCUACAAUGGACAAUACAAAGGGCAGCGAAACCGCGAGGUCAAGCAAAUCCCAUAAAGUUGUUCUCAGUUCGGAUUGUAGUCUGCAACUCGACUACAUGAAGCUGGAAUCGCUAGUAAUCGUAGAUCAGCAUGCUACGGUGAAUACGUUCCCGGGUCU